AUUGAAAUGAUGACACUUUCCCCAUAUGAUCGAAGUUGAUUCUAACUUUGCUAUAUACAUAAAUUCAGUCUUCUGAAUUUCCAAGCCAAAAUUCUGAUCUUC